UACGUAGGCAGCAAGCGUUGUUCGGAGUUACUGGGCGUAAAGGGUGUGUAGGCGGUCUUCUAAGUCUGGUGUGAAAUCUCCCGGCUCAACUGGGAGGGUGCGCCGAAAACUGGAAGGCUAGAGUGCGGGAUGGGAGAGUGGAAUUCCUGGUGUAGCGGUGAAAUGCGUAGAUAUCAGGAGGAACACCUGUGGUGUAGACGGCUCUCUGGACCGCAACUGACGCUGAGAGACGAAAGCUAGGGGAGCGAAUGGG
rnacentral:rRNA from 1 species